GCCGACGUAGCUCAGUUGUAGAGCAACGCUUUCGUAACGCGUAGGCCAGUGGUUCGAAUCCACUCGUCGGCU
rnacentral:tRNA from 1 species